AUGAGCUCUUGCUCAAUUCAUCAAAGCUACGCCGGGGAUAAGAGGCUGAUGACUCCCAAGAGCUCUUAUCGAUGGAGUCGUUUGGCACCUUGAUGUUGACUCAUCAUGGGGAUGAAGAAGGUCCCAAGGGUUCGGUUGUUCACUGAUUCAAGCGGUACGUGAGUUGGGUUUAGAAAAUUGUGAGACAGUUCGGUUCCUAUCAACAGUUGGUGUAAAAGGGAGAAUUGCAAGGAGCCCACCCUAGUGCGAGAGGACUGGGUUGGGACAACCUAAGGUGUACCGGUUGUUAU